ACCUACGACCGCAGGUGCGAAAACAGGGUUACCUGUCCGUUCAGCCGUACUUAUGCCACACGCCGGGAGUUAGUAGCUGGGUGAAUGACCACCAGCAAAUCCCUUCUGUUGUGUAU
rnacentral:rRNA from 1 species